CAGGAAGUGUAUCUCUUUUCCCCUCCGCUCCUGCCUCAGCUGCACGAUGUGAUCCACCGGCAAAGAGGGAUGCCAAUAAGGCAUCUGAUAAGUUUCAGGUCUGGAAUGAAGAUGCUUGGCAGCCUAGUCUUCAUCCUUCUAUGAGAAAUGUAGGCAACACUGGGAAAAUUGCUGGAUAUUUCCAGAUGUGUGUGAAAAGAGAGAACAUGGAGGAAAUCACUGCCCAAACCUGAGGCACAAAGAGCUAUCCAGGAAAACUGGGAGGCAAAUUAAAAGGACAAUAAUAUCAUCAUCAUCAUCAUCAUCAUCAUCAUCAUCAUCAUCAUCAUCGUCAUCAUAUUUAUCAUGUUAAUAUCAUCAUCAACAACAGCAACAACAGCAAUUGUUAAGGAAAGUGUAAACAUUAAAACCAGACUCAAGUAUAGCAGAGCUGCUACAAUUAAUUUCAGAGGCAUUUUAACAUUCUAGUUAAUGAGCUAAAUUCAAUAAAGUCAAUAAAGAGCAAAUGACAUGUAAGAAACAGAGGAGCAAUGCUGGUAGAUUAAUGGAAAUUAUAAGAGAUGUAAACACAAACAAGCAACAAUGACAACAACAAACCUACUGAAGAUCAAAAAUAUAGUAACAGAAAUGAAGAAUGACUUUGGUGGGCUCAUGUGGUAGAAGAACAUUGGAAUGGAAGGAAGAGCUUCCCUCAAGAGAAACUUCCAGAUUUGAAACACAAAAGGAAAAAAAAAAGACUGAGAAAGCGAAGUCAGUACAAAACAACAGCUGAAACCUGUGGGACACCUACGGAGUAGAGCAUAUGUGCGCCGGAAACACAAAAUGACAUCUGAUUCAGAGAAUUAUAAAACACAUUUACAAUCACUGUAUCCCAACCUACACAACUGGCAGAAGGCGUCUUUCCCACCAGAGGAAAGGCCAGCUCCCUCAACCCAAGAGAGAUGGCAAAGACUAUUUCUGCCAUCAGGGAAAAAUAUAUCUGCCUUCACAAAUAUUUAAGCUCAAUAGGAAAGAAGGAAAUUGCAUAUUUGUGUAUCUUUUGUCCACAACUAUAUCUCUAAAACUUACCAUCUAUUCCAUACACAGACUAGGUAUCAUUAAUGAAGAAGUCAAGAAAUCAUCAGAUUCUAUCACUGAAAAUAGAAUUCAAAACAUUAAAAGGAACAUCUCUAGAAGCAGAGCAAUAAUAAAUGAAGCUGUGUUAUUUGAAAAUUACCCAAAUUUCAUCAAAGUCAAAAUGCCAUACUUGAAUUUGUCAAGAAACAAUUACAAAAUGUGUGAAACCCUGAUGGGGGAUGUUCUUCUUUAUGGUGUGAAUAUAUGUCUUUCAUAUUGGUUAAGGAAUAAAGCUGUUUCAGCCAAUGAACAGGCAAAAUAUAGCCAAGCAGUAAGUAUAGGCGGGCAUACCAGACUUACAGAAUGCUGGGAAGAAAGACACAGAGAGAAUCUGUAGCUAAUGAGAAGACAGGAUGCUCAGAAUUCUCCAGUAAUAUAAGGUUACAUGGAAAAACACAGUUUAAUAGAAAUCGGUUAAUAAUUAAAAGAGAGAUAGCCAAUAAGAAGCUUUAGCCAUUCACCAAACAGUUUAAAAUUAAUGUUUGUGUGUUUAUUUGGGUCCAAAUGGCUUUGGAACCAGGCAAUGCAGAACCUCCAUCUACAAAUCCCUAUAAUGGGGAGUUCAUAAGAACAAUAAAAGUCUCUGUGUCUCUGGAAUAUUAAAUAAGAUUUUAUUGAAAAAAACCAAGUAUUUGAAAUUUAUUUCCAUCUUAAUAUUAAUAUAUUCUAACCAAUCUGAUGUCAUGGUCAGAAGACAAAUAAAAUCAAAACAAACAUAUUAAUAAUGAAAAAGUAUCACCAUCCUGGAACAAUAUGGGCAGGGGCAAUUAUAUAGGUUUUGAGUGAUACACUGCUGUUGCAAGAUUAGACACAGGA
ensembl:lncRNA